CCUACGGGCGGCAACAGUGAGGAAUAUUGGUCAAUGGACGAGAGUCUGAACCAGCCAAGUCGCGUGAAGGAUGACUGCCCUAUGGGUUGUAAACUUCUUUUAUCAAGGAAUAAAACGAGGCACGUGUGCCUUUUUGCAUGUACUUUAUGAAUAAGGAUCGGCUAACUCCGUGCCAGCAGCCGCGGUAAUACGGAGGAUCCGAGCGUUAUCCGGAUUUAUUGGGUGUAAAGGGAGCGUAGUUGGGUUGUUAAGUCAGUUGGGAAAGUUUGCGGCUCAACGGGGUGAAGUGCCAUUGAUACUGCCGUGCUGGAAUGCGGAUGCCGUGGGAGGAAUGUGUGGUGUAGCGGUGAAAUGCAUAGAUAUCACACAGAACACCGAUUGCGAAGGCAUCUCACGAAUCCGCGAUUGACGCGGAUGCACGAAAGCGUGGGUAUCAAACAGGAUUAGAUACCCGAGUAGUC
rnacentral:rRNA from 1 species